rnacentral:hammerhead_ribozyme from 1 species
AUGCGAAACAGGGCGGCCCUGCCGCCUUGUCUGCCCGGCGUGGUGGCCGGGUACUGAUGAGCAGCCGGAG